rnacentral:misc_RNA from 1 species
AAAAAGUGCAAAGCAAAGAAUCAAAGCAGUAUUCUCUCCCUCCUCAGUCCUCUCUCUUUCCAUCUCCAGCUUUCAGCACUCUCGAGGUUACGCACACUUUGAUGUUGUCUCCAACCGUCUGACACUAAAACUCUAUUACUGUCCUCCCAUGCCACUACAAUACACCAUUUCUUUUACCAUUAUUAAUUAUAUGCUCAACAUAUAUUAAUCUUAUAUACAUACAUACAUACAUUAUACAAAGGCAUAGCACAGAGUGUCUGAGGCUGUUCCCAAAUGCACGGACUACCUCUACUCACUAGCAGGAUACGUUAUUUUCUUUUCUUCUCUUUUAUUUUUCUUCAUUUAUAUCUCUGUCUCUGUCCAUUUUGUAUUUAAAGCUACCAACUGCUCUUUUUUAUCUGAGAAGCUGCAAUGAAUUAGAUGGUAUCAUUCAUUGUUUUAAGACUUGGGUUUGCUACUUUUUAGUUUAAGUCUAUUUGCUUUCCUUGCUGCAUAUUUUCAUGGGGAAGGUUGGAGGAAGCUCUUGGUUGGCUGCUGUUAAAAGGGCUUUCAGGUCUCCUACUAAGGAUAAUGAGAAGAAAAGCUGCAGAAGGAGGGAAGAUCGAGAACAAGAAGAUGAAGAGAAGAAGAGAGGUAAAAGAAGAUGGAUUUUCAGGAAACCUUCUUCAGCUCAUGAAACAACAGUUAUACAACAUUCUGCAGAAAAGAGCUUAACUACUGCUACUGCUAUUAGUGAAGCAGCUGAUGUUAAGCAAAGACAAGCACUUGCAAUGGCCAUGGCCACAACAGCAGCUGCUCAGGCAGCAGUUGCAACAGCCCAAGCAGCUGUGGAAGUGGUUAGACUCGCCAGGCCUUCCCUUUUCAUGAAGCAACACUUUGCUGCCAUUGCUAUACAGACAGCUUUCAGAGGAUAUCUGGCAAGGAGAGCUCUUCGGGCGCUUAAGGGACUGGUAAAGCUGCAAGCCUUAGUGAGAGGCCACAAUGUUAGAAAGCGAGCAAAGAUGACUCUUCACUGCAUGCAGGCUCUGAUGAGGGUUCAAGCACGGGUUCGAGAUCAACGCAAGAGAGUUUCUUAUGAAGGAAGCACAAAUUCCAUCUCAAGUGAUGCAAACAGCUUGUGGGGGUCUUAUCUUGCUGAUAGGAAGUCCAUUUCAAGGGAUGAAAGCAGCACUGCUGAUGAAUGGGUCAAUUGGGAUGAUCAACAUCCACAGUCGCUGGAGGAGAUCCAAGUAAUGUUGCAAGAAACAAAGCAAGCUGCCUUGAAGCGUGAGAAGGCCCUUGCUCAUGCUUUCUCUCGCCAGGUUUUGACCUCUUCAUUUCCUCCUCAUUUCAUCUGCUCUAUACAUAAUGCAACAUUCUUUAAUUUGCUGCACUGCAUGAUUUUGCUUACAGAUAUGGAGACCCAGUAGGGACACAUAUGCAAGUGAAGGAGAACUGGAAGAGAAACGCAGAUGGAAUGAUCGGUGGACAACGAGGAAGCAAUUAGAGAACAAAGGGAUCAGAGGUUUAAAUGAUCAGAGAGACCCCAUUAAAACUGUUGAAGUGGACACCUCUCAGCCUUACACUUUCUCAACCCCAAACACUCGUAAAUCCCAUCAUGAAUAUCAUCACUACCAACAACAAAGGCCAAGUUCAUAUUCUGUUGCUUCUCCUCUCUCUAGAGUACACAGCAAUUUCCCACUUCAACCACCAUUAACACCAUCCCCAUCCAAAGCAAGAACACUACUCCAAGUUCAUUCAGCUAGCCCUCGCUGCCUAAGAGAAGACGGGAACCAGCAGGAUCACAAAGGUGCAAGUACUCCAAAUGCUAUAGCUACUUCAGUGCCUAGCUACAUGGCUGCCACUGCUUCAGCCAAGGCUCGUUUCCGGUCACAAAGUGCACCAAGGCAGAGGCCGUCAACCCCAGAGAGAGAAAAGGUAGGUUCAGCUUCAGCAGCCAAAAAACGCCUUUCUUUCCCAGUUCCUGAUCCUGUGACAAGCAAUAAUGUUGUGGGUUAUAGCAUAAGGAGUCCAAGCUACAGAGGCAAUGUUCAUGAAGCCUAUCUUGGAAUGGAGCAGAGGUGUAACAUGUCUUCUUGCUGCACAGAUAGCAUUGGAGAUGAGGUAUCUCCUCCUUCAACCAAUGAUCUUAGCAGAUGGUUAAGAUAAUUAAAUCCAAGCUAGCAGCAGAUACCCAAACAAGUGAUGAAUGAAACAGAUUUGCAUGCAUGGCUAACUAGGAGGAUAUAGCAAGCUUGAUGACCAUAUUGAGGAUGUGUAGAUUUACAAGUGAAGGUGAAGGUAGAUGAAAGAGUCACAAUGUGAAGAGAAAUUUGCUAUAUGAAGAUAUAAAUUUUUAU